CCCGUGCAUUUGUUUCAGGAAACUUUACAGGAGAUGGACUCACUGAUUCACUGAAUGGUCUAUCCAGCACAGAGGUAAAGAGCAUUGUUGAUUGGCGGGACUU